rnacentral:rRNA from 1 species
UACGUAGGUGGCAAGCGUUGUCCGGAUUUACUGGGUGUAAAGGGCGUGUAGCCGGGCUGACAAGUCAGAUGUGAAAUUCCGGGGCUCAACCCCGGACCUGCAUUUGGAACUGUAUGGCUAGAGUGUCGGAGAGGCAGGCGGAAUUCCUAGUGUAGCGGUGAAAUGCGUAGAUAUUAGGAGGAACACCAGUGGCGAAGGCGGCCUGCUGGACGAUGACUGACGUUGAGGCUCGAAAGCGUGGGGAGCAAACAGG